UGGGCGGUUAGCUCAGUUGGGAGAGCGCCUGGUUUACACCCAGGAGGUCGUGGGUUCGAGCCCCGCAUCGCCCAU
rnacentral:tRNA from 1 species